CAGGAUGCACUGAUGCACUACGUGUCAUGCAAAAGUUAAGUUAUUCUUCUCGCUAUACUUCCGUUUUUCAGUCCCCAGACUGCUAUUGUUUUCUUUAAUGCAAUUCUGACAAUAAACUUUUGUACCUUUUGCAGAUGUGUCUGUGCUAUUGUUUUAUUUGUGAAGGUUAGCAAGAUUACAUGACAAAUUAAACACCAAAACAUUAAAACUGCUGUUUUAAGAAUAUUCCAGUUUGAUAAAUCAGUAUUGCUUUGGUGUACUUCAGUCAACGGAAUUAUGAACCAUAAAGGAGUUUGUGUUAAAACAUGUUAAAUCCCAUUAAACAUAAAUGCAUUAUUAGUGUGACAGGAGGUCGUCUCCCUCCUGGCCGCUGUUGGGCGCCGUGCCAGCGGUGCGAGUACCGUAAUCGCUGGGCGGUACCAUGCGCCCUUUAUAUUCAGGUGUGCAGCGGUGGAGCUUCCUGUCCUCCGCUCCCUGCUUGCUUCCGUGGUGGCUGUGGUUUGGCAUGACGGCGUUGGUGGACGCAGCCGUUCUCUGGUGUAUCCAGCUGUUGUGAUUGCCGUCAAGGCAUGCUGUCUGAAUACCGUGGCUGAGUGCUGGGGUGAAUUCCCCGGGGUGAAGCGGGGAUCUGCUGGAGCCCUGCUGGGCAUAGGAUCACAGGCUCGCUCUGGGUGGGUGUGGGUGUGCGCGUGUGUGCGAGCCGUAUUCUUGUGGCUCACACCCUCCAGUUGCCAGGUACGUGACGGGUUGGUUUCCCCAGCCGCUAUUCUGAUUUUAUGUAAUGAGUUUUUUAACUCAGUGUUAUUUUUCUUUCCAGUUAACAGCCCGGCAUAAUCGGACUGCCACCAUCACUUCAAGCUGAGCUGCUGUUUUGGUUCUCUUUAAUAUUUGUUUGGUGAACUGUUUAUGUUUUUUUCAUUCAGUUGUUUGCGGCGGCUUGGAGCGGACUUCUCAGCCCAGUACGGCUGAGUGCCGUCUGCGUCCGCUCAGUGCAGAGGCUGGUUGUGUUGCUGCUGUGCCAGAACUUGUACAGCUGCAAGGGCUACUUCACUUGAUGGUGUUUUGUUUUCUUUGUUAUUUGGAAAUUAAUUCAGGUAUUUCCUUUUGGUGUCUUGGUUUGCUUUGUUGCAUUACUUUAAUUGUGUUUUUGUUAUUUUCUUUGUGAGUUUAUUUAGCCUCAUGUAUUGAUUUAAUUCAUCAUUUAUUGUUCUUUGGUUUUGUUUUCUUUUGUCCACACCAGUUAUGGUUAGUUUGGCCGCGUUUUAUUAAUCUUUGUCUCUGCCUUCUGUGUACAGGUGCUGUGGCUUACUGUGGCAGUUAUUUCCUGCUGGUGGUGUCUUCUUCACGGUCCCCCCUUUUUUUUGGUUUUGUGUGUGUAUUAUUUGCAGUGUCACGGGUGAUUCAUUUGAGGAUUCCUCUCCCCUUUUUGGUUGUCCUGCCACAGGUUAAGCCCCAGCCUGGGGUUUUUUUUUUUUUUUUUUUUUAUUCCUUGUUGCCCAUUCUUUCUUUUAGUUAGUAUAUGUUAACUGCUGUGUGACAUUAUUUCCUUCCUUACAAACUGUUAAUAAACAUUGUUAAAUUUGAA